AUUGAACGCUGGCGGCAGGCCUAACACAUGCAAGUCGAGCGAGCGGCGGACGGGUGAGUAAUGUAUGGGGACUGCCCGAUAGAGGGGGGUAACUACUGGAAACGGUCGCUAAUACCGCAUACUAUCGGAGAACGCAUAUGGGAUGAGCGAGUAGGUGAGGUAAUGGCUCGCCGAGGCGACGAUCCCUAGCUGGUCUGAGAGGAGGAGCCGCCACACUGGGACUGAGACACGGCCCAGACUCCGACGGAGGCAGCAGUGGGGAAUAUUGCACAAUGGGCGCAAGCCUGAUGCAGCCAUGCCGCGUGUAUGAAGAAGGCCCUAGGGUUGUAAAGUACUUUCAGUCGGGAGGCGUUACCGACAGAAGAAGCACCGGCUAACUCCGUGCCAGCAGCCGCGGUAAUUC
rnacentral:rRNA from 1 species